rnacentral:lncRNA from 1 species
AGAAAAUCCUGGAGACCAUUCUUAAGAGGGCUGAUGACUAGUUAUUAAGGAAUGUUGAGGUCCAGAUCCCUGAGCCUGGGCACAGAGGCAACCUUCAAAUCCCCUUCCAUCUCCCUUCCCUGCCCCUCCCCAACACCUGACAAGGCUAAGUUCACUCUAAUACCUGACAAUAGCUCCAUGGAGAAUUCACAGCCAGCAAACCUCUACUGUGUUGUCUUCAGCUGUAGUCAUUGUUCACAGUCCAGAAUGAUCGAUCACCCCUCUGCUCUGUCUGAUUCCUCCUUUCUGCUCCACAAUUAGCUUUCCUCACUUCCUACCUCAUCAUAGACUCUCAUUCACCCCUUAAACGCUGAUGUUCUCAGAGCACUCUUUUGGCAACACAUGCUUUCUGACAUACACCCAUGUGAUUUUAAUUUAACUCUCAUCUAUAUGCUGAUAAAUAUAAACCUAAAAUCUGCUUCUCCAACCCCAAUUUCCCUUAUAAAUUUCUAACUCAUAUAUCCAACUGCAUGCAGGCCAUAUCCAGGUGAAGCCUCCACAGGCAUCUACAACUCAACAUGUCCAAAAGUGAACCAACAAAGACACAUGUGUGG